AGGGAAUAUUGCGCAAUGGGGGGAACCCUGACGCAGCGACGCCGCGUGAAGGAAGAUGGCUUUCGGGUUGUAAACUUCUUUGAUUGGGGAAGAAGGAAGUGACGGUACCCAAAAAACAAGCCACGGCUAACUACGUGCCAGCAGCCGCGGUAAUACGUAGGUGGCGAGCGUUGUCCGGAAUUACUGGGUGUAAAGGGCGUGUAGGCGGGAGUGCAAGUCAGAUGUGAAAUACCACGGCUCAACUGUGGUGGUGCAUCUGAAACUGUGCUGCUUGAGUACUGGAGAGGGAAGCGGAAUUCCUAGUGUAGCGGUGAAAUGCGUAGAUAUUAGGAGGAACACCAGUGGCGAAGGCGGCUUCCUGGACAGAGACUGACGCUGAGGCGCGAAAGCGUGGGUAGCGAAC
rnacentral:rRNA from 1 species